rnacentral:rRNA from 1 species
CCUACGGGUAGCAGCAGUAGGGAAUUUUGCGCAAUGGGCGAAAGCCUGACGCAGCAACGCCGCGUGAUUGAUUAAGCCCUUCGGAGUGUAAAGAUCUGUCAGUGGGGACGAAACUUGACGGUACCCCCAGAUGAAGCACCGGCUAACUCAGUGCCAUCAGCCGCGGUAAUCCGGAGGGUGCAAGCGUUGUCCGGAAUCAUUGGGCGUAAAGAGUUCGUAGGUGGCAUAUUAAUUCUGGUGUUAAAUGCAUAAGCUUAACUUCUGUUCGGCACUGGCUCCGGGUAAGCUUGAGUGCGGUAGAGGUAAAGGGAAUUCUGGGUGUAGCGGGGAAAUGCGUAGAGAUCAGGAGGAACAUCGGUGGCGAAAGCGCUUUACUGGGCCGUAAUUGACGCUGAGGAACGAAAGCGGGGGUAGCAAAUGGGAUUAGAUACCCGUGUAGUC